rnacentral:rRNA from 1 species
AAAAACUCCGGUGGUAUGAGAUGGGCCCGCGUCUGAUUAGCUAGUUGGCGGGGUAACGGCCCACCAAGGCGACGAUCAGUAGCCGACCUGAGAGGGUGACCGGCCACAUUGGGACUGAGACACGGCCCAAACUCCUACGGGAGGCAGCAGUGGGGAAUAUUGCACAAUGGGGGAAACCCUGAUGCAGCGACGCCGCGUGAGCGAUGAAGUAUUUCGGUAUGUAAAGCUCUAUCAGCAGGGAAGAAGAUGACGGUACCUGACUAAGAAGCCCCGGCUAACUACGUGCCAGCAGCCGCGGUAAUACGUAGGGGGCAAGCGUUAUCCGGAUUUACUGGGUGUAAAGGGAGCGUAGACGGCGGUGCAAGCCAGAUGUGAAAGCCCGGGGCUCAACCCCGGGACUGCAUUUGGAACUGUAUGGCUGGAGUGUCGGAGAGGCAGGCGGAAUUCCUAGUGUAGCGGUGAAAUGCGUAGAUAUUAGGAGGAACACCAGUGGCGAAGGCGGCCUGCUGGACGAUGACUGACGUUGAGGCUCGAAAGCGUGGGGAGCAAACAGGAUUAGAUACCCUGGUAGUCCACGCCGUAAAC